ensembl:snoRNA SNORA74 Small nucleolar RNA SNORA74
CCCAGGUGUAGGCAACCAUCUAGGUUGCCUUGCAUCUAAGCAAGUGUUACACUCCUGGGAGAAAAGCAGCUAAACCUGGCAGGCAUCCUGGACCUGGUUAGUACCAAAGUUGUGUUAACUAGACCCGUGUGCCAGCACAGU